rnacentral:lncRNA from 1 species
AGUAACAGUGGAGAUUAGAGUCCAGAUCACAUAGCUGGGGAGACAGACCCAAGAAGGAACCUGACAUGGUGACCCAGACAGAGCCAGGAGAGAAGCCAUGAGCUUAGCUCACACAGAUUCUGACUGUGAGAAGAGGCAAGAGAUGGAAGGCAACUUUAAGUACAGAAAACAAACUCACACAUCCAGAGGAAGUGCAUAGGUCCGGGCAACGAAAAGCCUGAAAUCACAUAGAUGGCAAGACAAGAGUCAAUCCUAACAAAACCAAGGAAUAUAGUCAAUGCAAAGACUGGGCCGCAUGAAGCUCCGGAUUUCUGAAGAAUGUUAAUCACAUACAAAACACCUGAAUCAAUCCCUCAGAGGUUCAUCAACUUCUGUGGGUUCUAUA